UAGUUAGCUGGAGGUCAAAUGUGUUGGCAUUUGACCUCUACUUGUCUCUGACGUCUGUGUUUCAAUGCACAGGUGCAGAUGUCAGAUACGGGCUGACCUGUAAAGGGCACCCCACCAAUUGUCAAUGGGAGCACCGGAGAAAGCUGGAAAAAACGCCGAGACCUACUUGAGGCCACGAGUACGCGGAGACCACUCACGAGCAUGAGGAAGAGUUAUGAAGACCUCCUAUGACCUUGUGACGACCAUGCUCAGAGACUAUUACUCAGUAGUCAUACGAGAACACUAAAUGCUUUUAACUCUCUGUACAUGGCAACCUGGAAGGAGAAGGAAAAGAGGCUGACCAAAACUCACAUGGAGCUGAACAUUCCAGAACUGAUUUAGAAGCCCGGGAUGCUAACCUAUCGAGGGUGGAAACGCUGCACAUGUCCGAACAAAAUGGCGAAAACUUGUUGCCCAAUGCACUCAACAGUAUGGGAGGAAAUAAGUCUGUCGAAGACCUGUGGACAACAAAAGCCAAUUUUGACCUUCCACUGCUGGACUGACUGCAAAUAAGAUAACAGCACAUUCUAGGAAAUAGGCUUGGAAUCAUUGGCUUUAAAUGUAUUAUUACCAUCCCAAGCAGUAUGCCAACGUACAGAAUCUCUCAGCUGCACUCAUUCAGCUUUAGGUUUGCAGUCUACAAAUUAUAUUCACUGGUAUUAGUUUAUUAUUGUCAUGCGUAAAAAAAGUUGAUUCCAUCAGAAGAAAAGUUAAAGCCACUGCCCAGAUAUUUCGUACUUUUCAUACCAAACUAUAUAGUUAUUCAGUGUUGGCAUUCUGGUUCUGCAAUUUGGUGGUUCCAUUGACCAAUAGCCAGUCCAUCUAUCAAGGUUGUCAAACAGUUAUGAAGCUCGUUUUUAAGGCUAUUAGAACAUUAUUACAUUUAAGUCUUUAAAACGAGAACCAAUUAAAUACAUUUAGAUUAACCUGAUUAAUACAAGGAUAUAAAUGACCUGGAACAAUUUACUGCCUUGCAAGAAUUAAUCUUAAUUGAAAUGAUCAGAACUGCAUGGUUUGUAGCUAUAAAAGGAUAUAAACUAUCUUGGCGUAGGUCAAGAGUGUUUUAUUGUCACAUGUCCCAAACAGAACAAUGAAAUUCUUACUUCCAGCAACACAACAGAAUAUGUAAACAUACUACUUUGUAAUCAAUAAAAUCAAUGAAAAUAA